rnacentral:piRNA from 1 species
UCCACCAAACCUUCUAUGUCCACAGCAUUC